rnacentral:rRNA from 1 species
AGUCACUGACAUUAGAUACCCGUGUAGUCCAGGGUGUAAACGCUGCAGACUUGGUGUUGGAGGCCCUUUGGGGGCGAUUCAGUGCCGGAGAGAAGUUGUUAAGUCUGCUACUUGGGAGUACGUCCGCAAGGAUGAAACUUAAAGGAAUUGGCGGGGGAGGCACCGCAACGGGUGGAGCUUGCGGUUUAAUUGGAUUCAACGCCGGAAAUCUUACCGGGACCGACAGCAACAUGAAGGCCAAGCUGAAGACUUUGCCGGAUUAGCUG